GCUUGCUCUUGGGUGGACGAGUGGGCGGACGGGUGAGUAAUGUCUGGGGAUCUGCCCGAUAGAGGGGGAUAACCACUGGAAACGGUGGCUAAUACCGCAUAACGUCGCAAGACCAAAGAGGGGGACCUUCGGGCCUCUCACUAUCGGAUGAACCCAGAUGGGAUUAGCUAGUAGGCGGGGUAAUGGCCCACCUAGGCGACGAUCCCUAGCUGGUCUGAGAGGAUGACCAGCCACACUGGAACUGAGACACGGUCCAGACUCCUACGGGAGGCAGCAGUGGGGAAUAUUGCACAAUGGGCGCAAGCCUGAUGCAGCCAUGCCGCGUGUAUGAAGAAGGCCUUCGGGUUGUAAAGUACUUUCAGCGGGGAGGAAGGCGAUGAGGUUAAUAACCCUGUCGAUUGACGUUACCCGCAGAAGAAGCACCGGCUAACUCCGUGCCAGCAGCCGCGGUAAUACGGAGGGUGCAAGCGUUAAUCGGAAUUACUGGGCGUAAAGCGCACGCAGGCGGUCUGUUAAGUCAGAUGUGAAAUCCCCGGGCUUAACCUGGGAACUGCAUUUGAAACUGGCAGGCUUGAGUCUUGUAGAGGGGGGUAGAAUUCCAGGUGUAGCGGUGAAAUGCGUAGAGAUCUGGAGGAAUACCGGUGGCGAAGGCGGCCCCCUGGACAAAGACUGACGCUCAGGUGCGAAAGCGU
rnacentral:rRNA from 1 species